GUUUUUAUAGUUUAAUUUAAAACAUUAAUUUUGUAAAUUAAAAAUAAUAAGUAUAUUUAAAAACU
rnacentral:tRNA from 1 species